rnacentral:misc_RNA from 1 species
AAGUCGUAACAAGGUUUCCGUAGGUGAACCUGCGGAAGGAUCAUUAGUGAAUCUAGGGUGUCCAAUUUAACUUGGAGCCCGAACUCUCACUUUCUAACCCUGUGCAUCUGUUAUUGGUUAGUAGCUCUUCGGAGUGAACUCCAUUCACUUACAAACACAAAGUCUAUGAAUGUAUACAAAAUUAUAACAAAACAAAACUUUCAACAACGGAUCUCUUGGCUCUC